GACGAACGCUGGCGGCGUGCUUAACGCAUGCAAGUCGAACGGAAAGGCCCUGCUUUUGUGGGGUGCUCGAGUGGCGAACGGGUGAGUAACACGUGAGUAACCUGCCCUUGACUUUGGGAUAACUUCAGGAAACUGGGGCUAAUACCGGAUAGGAGCUCCUGCAGCAUGGUGGGGGUUGGAAAGUUUCGGCGGUUGGGGAUGGACUCGCGGCUUAUCAGCUUGUUGGUGGGGUAGUGGCUUACCAAGGCUUUGACGGGUAGGCGGCCUGGGAGGGCGACCGGCCACAUUGGGACUGAGAUACGGCCCAGACUGCAACGGGAGGCAGCGGUGGGGAAUAUUGCACAAUGGGCGGAAGCCUGAUGCAGCAACGCCGCGUGCGGGAUGACGGCCUUCGGGUUGUAAACCGCUUUCGCCUGUGACGAAGCGUGAGUGACGGUAAUGGGUAAAGAAGCACCGGCUAACUACGUG
rnacentral:rRNA from 1 species